rnacentral:tRNA from 1 species
GUUCCGUUCGUUCAAUGGAUAGGAUAGAGGUCUACGAAACCUCGGAUGUGGGUUCGACUCCCACAUGGAACACCA